rnacentral:rRNA from 1 species
AGAGUUUGAUCCUGGCUCAGGAUGAACGCUAGCUACAGGCUUAACACAUGCAAGUCGAGGGGAAACGACAUCGAAAGCUUGCUUUUGAUGGGCGUCGACCGGCGCACGGGUGAGUAACGCGUAUCCAACCUGCCCACCACUUGGGGAUAACCUUGCGAAAGUAAGACUAAUACCCAAUGAUAUCUCUAGAAGACAUCUGAAGGAGAUUAAAGAUUUAUCGGUGAUGGAUGGGGAUGCGUCUGAUUAGCUUGUUGGCGGGGUAACGGCCCACCAAGGCGACGAUCAGUAGGGGUUCUGAGAGGAAGGUCCCCCACAUUGGAACUGAGACACGGUCCAAACUCCUACGGGAGGCAGCAGUGAGGAAUAUUGGUCAAUGGGCGAGAGCCUGAACCAGCCAAGUAGCGUGCAGGAUGACGGCCCUAUGGGUUGUAAACUGCUUUUAUAAGGGAAUAAAGUGAGAGUCGUGACUCUUUUUGCAUGUACCUUAUGAAUAAGGACCGGCUAAUUCCGUGCCAGCAGCCGCGGUAAUACGGAAGGUCCGGGCGUUAUCCGGAUUUAUUGGGUUUAAAGGGAGCGUAGGCCGGAGAUUAAGCGUGUUGUGAAAUGUAGACGCUCAACGUCUGCACUGCAGCGCGAACUGGUUUCCUUGAGUACGCACAAAGUGGGCGGAAUUCGUGGUGUAGCGGUGAAAUGCUUAGAUAUCACGAAGAACUCCGAUUGCGAAGGCAGCUCACUGGAGCGCAACUGACGCUGAAGCUCGAAAGUGCGGGUAUCGAACAGGAUUAGAUACCCUGGUAGUCCGCACGGUAAACGAUGGAUGCCCGCUGU